GAAAAUCCAUUUUUCCCCACCCGGCCACCUCUCUCCCCCUGAUUCCUCUGUCUCUCUCGCACCACAGCGUUGUCGCCGCCAACUCCGAUCCCAGGAAGCUCCAGCGGACUCCAACCCACUGCUCACGGUUCUGCCCCACUCCAUCUAUGUUCUCCUCUGUUCCUUCGCCUGAGGCCACCGCGCCCCUGCACGCGUGGCACGCAACAACCCUAGCCGCCACGCGUCGCCGGCGUGGCUCCGGCAGCUCCGGUUUAUCGACCCACUACCCCUGCGGCCCUGCCUCACCUCACGCGCGGCAGCACGCUCGAGCUUGACGUUGGUAUUCCGCCUCUUCUACCUCAACUCCGGUGUUGACGUUUCUGGUUCUGGUGUUUACACGCUCGAGCUUGACGUUGGUAUUCCGCCUCUUCUACCUCAACUCCGGUGUUGACGUUUCUGGUUCUGGUGUUUAUUUGAUUAGAUGUGAUUCACCAUGUGUUGAUCUGUACUAAUUCUGGAUGAGUACUCUGUUAUGCGUUAUGGUUAGAGUUUCCUCCUCCUAUUUAGAUGGAUCGAUGGAUAAUUAAGUAUUUUUUCAAGUGAAAUUAAUCAUUACAUACUAGCAUGUAGCAUGACCUGUUCAAAGAUCAGCGCAGUUUUUUCUUAUAAAAAGAGAUCAACUUAGUUCCAAUUGGAGUGAGAUAGUCGAUCAGCGAUAUAUCAUAUGUGACCAUGUAUGUCACUGAAGAACAUUACUACAAAAAUCAACAUGUCAGUGCAAUUAUGGGUCCAUGAUACUGGCAUGAUUAUUUCAAAUGGAGAAUCCCCAUCUCAAUAGGCUGAAUCGUUGUUUACUUGGUGUCACAUGUACAAUAUACUAAAUAAAUAAGUCCCACUCGCAUCGGUCUGUCCAAUUAUUUGUCUUUAUUCUAUAACCCUUUGCUCCAUCUACACUCACAGGUUCUGACAUUGUCUUUUACUAAGUGUGUGCUUCUGCUGUUUCUUAACAGAUCGAUGUACAACACUUAUGCAUUACAAUCAGGAGAAAUCCAUGCAGAAGAAGCCUGAAGAAUUAUUCAAGUUAUUUGUUUAUAGCAUGGUGAGGAUCCUUUCGCUAGUUCAUGUUACAGUAAGGAAAACAUGAAUUUGUAUCUUAUUCUUUUUUUUGGUUGAUGUAAUAUUUGUUUUCCCCUGGCAAAAAGUUAUAUUAGUUUCAGUUUCUUAUUCAGUUAAAAUGUGCACACUACAAUCUCGAAGUUUAUGCAAAAGCUCAGAUGGAAAUCAUUCUUACACUCAUGUUAUCCAAUAUAAAUUGUUAAAUAAUUGAAAAAAUUUGAAGGUGCGAUACAAGAACAUCAUACCUUGGUAUUCUCGUCACAUGUAUAUGACUCAUAUUGUUGAAAUCUCACCUCUAAAUCGAGUUUAGUGCUCUUUUUUGGAAAUAUAGGUACUUCUGAAUUCCUGCAAUCUCUGUACUAAUUUUGUAUUUCGUGGGGAGCCACAGAUAUUUCCAAAUACUAGAAUGAUGCAUGAUUGGUCAGCACACAAACUCUUGGCCAGGUUCCUCUCACAUCUUAUCUUGUUUGUAAUAUAUUCUUCUUAAACUGUUAACACGAUGAGCAUGUACUUGUUUCAUCCAAGAACGUAAACAUGAAAAGUAUUCCUCUUGUGCACUCUCCUUCCCUGACAUACAGGGCACACUACGGUGGUUGGAUGAUACAACCAUAAACAGACAGCUAAGCGAUCAGAUGCGGCGACUGUGCGAGUGUGUCAGGUAUGUCGAAUUCACUGAUCCCAAACUAUUGGAUCUGACUAGGAUCUCCUCUUCUCUGUAAUACUUAGGACCUUCUCCUCUACCUACUCGGGCCAACAGUUUCAGCAUCCAGCAACCAUGGUGACAAAGAUGAACGUACUGGAACUGCUCUAAGUUUCAACAUUCUCGGUAAACAAGUGAACUAAGAAAGCCAAUCCUACUUAGUAAAUGUUGGCAUAUACUAAUACGCUGGCACUACUUAGUUUGCAUGAAUGUUGUGGUCUUCUAAAUUGCUAGAAUAAUUUCAAGUAGUUUAGUAGGAGUCUCUGCUUGUUUAACUAGCCAAGUUUGAGUCUAAUUUGAUUAGGGUGAUUAGUUAGUUUUCCAACAUGUCUGGUUUGCAUGCCAUAAGCAUUUGUCUUCUUGGGUGGGUCGUAGUCCAUAUAUGAUUCAAUGAGUUUGCAUAGCUAGCUGCCUACAUGCUGUACUAUCAUAUCUUGUAGUUAGCAUGCUUUACUAGUCUAGGAAAGGGCGCUGGAGUCUGAGUCGUUUUAGAUGCUAUAAGUACGAGCAGCUUUAGAUUGUUUCGGCCAUGUAGCUGGUCAUAUCGUGUAACCAGGUCGUGCAAGUUUUUUUUCCAUAUUAGAACAAGGUCAUGUAAGAGUUUUGAUAUAAAAGAAGAAAGAGUACGUUAAAGUUUUUCAUGCACAUGUGUACAGCUAUUUUGAUGUUUGAUUCUGUGGGCAAAACCGAACAUAGAUUACUAAUACAUAUGCCAAAUCACCAGGUUACAGAGGCUCGAUUGUUCCAAGUCGAUGUUGUUGGCGCUAAAACAUAAAAGACUACUAGUGCCAAGCUGGAUUUACUAGGAGGUAUUUUCUGAUGGUAGUUCCAUAUUGCGUGAAUGAUUCUUCACCAGUUUGAAUGGAAAUUUUGGAGUAUUAAUAGCAUACUUGACUAUAUUUUAUUAUCUUGCACAUGUUUCUCUCUUUUUUCACAUAAUUUGUACAAGCGAACACUUUUCUUGCAUGUGAAAAUGGUCGUACUGCUUAUGUGAGAUAAGACUCUUUGCGGCUAGAUUAGGUAAAACAAUUCAUCAACUACUGUAUGCCUGCCUUACAAUCCCCAACCCCUAUAAAACACUUUGUUUCUAGUAACAUGGUGAAACUUAAUAAUGAAAUUAGCUGAGUUAGUUUACUGAGCUAAAAUGACUAUUAUUAGCUACAAAUGUGAUACUGGAUAAAUCCGAACAAGAACCCUGCUUUUACUUCAAUCCAAAGGAUCAACCCCGAAUAUAAAGCUAAAGUUGAUGUUGUUAAACUUGGUAAUGAAUUCAUGGUAUUGUGAGCUGAUGCUAUAUUAGCAGAAUCUUAUUAGUCUCUACAACUACAAAAAAGGUCAAAAUUAUUAGUCACGCAGCAAGAUUAAUUAUCACAUUUCUUCAACUUUCUAUGUUGCUCCUCCUUUCAAUUUUUCUGCCCUAUUAACCUAUUUAAUUUCUUUGUUGUAGAUUGCAAUAUUCGAUGACGCAUGGCUCAGAUGUUGGUUGCAAGGUCAAGAAUAGGGGUGCUACUAGAUAGUUUCACAUUAUGCCUUAGAAUGCCAUUUCCAGUGCCAAUGUUUCAAUCAUUAUGUUUCGGAUAUUUUUGGUGUCAAUAUUUCGAUCAUUAUGUUUCAGAAUGGCUGACACGUUGGCUGCAAGGUCAAGAAUGAGAUUACUACUAGUUUCACAUCUUGUAAUUUUUGUAUGGUGUACUUUGUAAUGCAACCAAGUUGAUUUAAUAUAUGAGAAAUUUCCGUUUAUUAUACUGUGUCCCUUGUGUAAUACCGAUAUUGUCUAAUUCUAGACGCUGAUGUAUAAAUAUCAUGUAUUUUUUAUGGAAUGCACUAGUAUUGUAGUACUCAUUUAUAAUCAUGUUCUGUUGGGUAGCCACCAACGCAUGUGAACCGUUGUUGGGCUCUAACUCUAUACGUUGCUAUCUUACAACACUUAUUCAGGCCGUUUACCAACGGAUGC
rnacentral:lncRNA from 1 species